GCAAACAUGUAGCAGGCAACCCGCAGCAUCUGUGGGAGGGUGACAGGGCCCUGCCACAAUUGGUCAAUGCCUGCUCGCCAAGAAUGAGCUAUGCCAAAACCCCUGCUUAGAGUCGCAGAGCGGGCCAUGACCUAAAAUUGUCCAGGGACACAUCGGCCUCUAACACUGCAAGAUUUCCUCUUUCAAGCAAACCUCAAUUCUCGGUCUUAUUAAGGGAAUGUGACUUCACUGGACGCAGUAUAAAGAUCUUCAGAUGUCCUCCUGCCGGGGAUUGCAGGGAUCACAGAAAGACCAUCGAGGUCCAGGAGCUACCUGCAAGCGGAGAUCCCUCUGGACGCCCCGUGCCUCACCCAGCAAAGCCGGCUCACAACCCUGCGCUCUCAAACCUCUAAAAGGGCUUGAGGUGCCAAUAGGAAAGGAGGCCCGAGAUUGCCACGGCAUACGUGGGCCCCAAGGAGGGAGCCAGGAGUCACUGCCUGCUUGGGCUAAGGGUACCGCGUACGGAAAGGCGGCGGGGACGCGGCCCAGUUCCAGGAGAUGCGCCCAACGAAGAAGCGGAGGAACAGGGUCACGGGAUAGGGCAGACACCCGGCUGCUUUUUGUUUGCUAGACACCAGCGCCAGCCCCUGCCCGGCCCUCCCGGUCUCCUAAGGGUUGGGGGGGUGUCUUAGGCUCCACAGCGCCCCCGACCGCCCUCCUGCACUCCUCACCGUCUCCAUUGCAAGAGGCGCCCGGCUUGGUUUCCUCGCUUUAGGAAACUCUCUUGGGGCAGGCCCCGCCCCACAUCCGGUGCGGCGACGCCACUUCCGCCCACGUCAUGGCAGUCGCCAGACUGGGGCGGAAGGCAAGGAACCCACCCUUCCGGCGGUGGCGGGCCUCGGUAACCGCCCUCCCCCGGGUCCUCGCGGACCGCACGGAUCCGGCUGACGGCGAGGGUCAUGGGACGGAGCCGCUUGUAUUUAAAAUGUUCUUUUUUUAUUUGUCGUUUAAAAACAAACUUGGAAGAAGCAAAAUCCAAAACUUGCCCUUUGCCUCUCGCAACAUAAAUAUGUACAGUUCAGAAUGAUCGCUGAUACAAAACAUGCCAAGGACAGGGGCGCUGAGGGUGGAGGGAGAGAGGGCGCUUUAAAAAAGGGAACCAUUUCAUCCGUUGUUACGAAGGACCAACCUUGCUGUACAGGAUACACACAACACAAAAUAAAGUCUUCACGGGAUU
rnacentral:lncRNA from 1 species